GAGGUGUGGACUCGAGUCACAUGACUUGGACUCGAGUCAGACUCGAGUCAUGAAUUUGAUGACUUUAGACUCGACUUGACAAAAUGUAAAAAGACUUGCGACUCGACUUAGACUUUAACAUCAAUGACUUGUGACUUGACUUGGACUUGAGCCUUUUGACUUGACAUGACUUGCUACUUUCCCCAAAACCCAACGAUUAAAAAGUUACUCAAGAGCGCUCAGUAUCUGUCUGUCUGUCAGCGUGUGUGCGAUGACAGUGUGUGCGCUACCUGUCAGAACAACAGCCAAUCAAAUUACAUCCACGUUAUUUUGCAGGAAAACCAACGAAAAAGCUCUCAAACACGCCAGUGAGGAAAAGCUAUGCCAAAAAUGGUUUUGUUCGGGUAUAAAAACUAUGACUUGGUCAACAAAAAACGAAUUGCCGUAUUCAAAGCCUGCGGUUCGUGUGAAUUUUACAGACAGAGACGCAACAACUUCGUUCGACAUUUGAAGUUGCACAAAGAAGGGUUGCGGGGGGUGCUGGAGCCUAUCUCAGCUGCAUUUGGGCGAAAGGCGGUGUACACCCUGGACAAGUCCCCAUCUCAUCACAGGGCCAACACAGAUAGACAGACAACAUUCACACUCACAUUCACACACUAGGGCCAAUUUAGUGUUGCCAAUCAACCUAUCCCCAGGUGCAUGUUUUUGGCAGAGGGAGGAAGCCGGAGUACCCGGAGGGAACCCACACAGUCACAGGGAGAACAUGCAAACUCCACACAGAAAGAUCCCGAGCCCGGGAUUGAACUCAGGACUACUCAGGACCUUUGUAUUAAUAUACUUGUUAAAUAAAACCUUAUGUUUAAUGAA